rnacentral:lncRNA from 1 species
AGGAUUGUUUUGGUGAGAAUCUUCAUGAAAAAUAUCUUAUAGAUAAAUUGUCCAAACAAUAAAAUGAAAAUUUAUUUUAGAUAAACCCUUUAUAUUACUAUAUAAAAUUUGUAUAAUUGAAAUUUUAAUAUGGGACUAUAAUUGUGUCAGAUUUUCGUGUAUGCUAUUGUUUGGUCAUAGCCUUGAUUUCUUAUUCCGUUCUUGGUACAACUUGAAACUAUUUAACACCACCUGAAAGUGAUGUUUAAACAGCAUAUAUAAUGCUUUGCUAAAGUUAAUUAUAAUUAUAUCUUCCCACUGAACAACAAUGCACUUAAGUCAUUCAGGUCGUUUGUUUCGGAAAAAAAUCGUUUGAAUGGCUGACCGACAUUCAGACGAUUUGGGCUGAAUGGAUAAGUCCCAUUUUUUUGGGCUGAAUGACGGCCGGAUGAUUUUUUUAAUUUACAAUAUUAAUUAUUAUAUUUAGUAAUAUUAAAUAAAUUUAUAACAAUUUUGAAUUUUUUCAAUGGGGUAAAAUAAUAAAAAUAUGUUAUUCAGAUGUUUCAGAUAUUUCAAUUAUCAAACAGCUUUUAUUUAGAUUCAACUCAUUCAUAUUCAGAUUCAUUCAGUUUUUAUCAAACAGCCCCUUGGCUGUCAGACUCGGUGGAAGUUACUGUUAGGGCAGCAACUAAAUUAUAUAUAUGCUAGUCUGAUGAUUAACCAAUGAUACUUAUAGUUAAAUCAGUGAGAUUAAGUUUAUUCUCAAAAUCAUAGGAUUGUUUUGGUGAGAAUCUUCAUGAAAAAUAUCUUAUAGAUAAAUUGUCCAAACAAUAAAAUGAAAAUUUAUUUUAGAUAAACCCUUUAUAUUACUAUAUAAAAUUUGUAUAAUUGAAAUUUUAAUAUGGGACUAUAAUUGUGUCAGAUUUUCGUGUAUGCUAUUGUUUGGUCAUAGCCUUGAUUUCUUAUUCCGUUCUUGGUACAACUUGAAACUAUUUAACACCACCUGAAAGUGAUGUUUAAACAGCAUAUAUAAUGCUUUGCUAAAGUUAAUUAUAAUUAUAUCUUCCCACUGAACAACAAUGCACUUAACCGGUCAUUCGUUCACCCAGGCAAGACUUUUGGCAUGCUAUCCUCUAGAGAAACCAAUACAGGCUGGAACUCUCAUCAGGUUCUCCUUUAGGUUACCAAAUUACUGCUCUGCUGCUUCUUCCUUAUGCGGAUUUGAGCUGGCAUGCUCAUCUGAC